ACUUUCAUCCUUCCAAGAACUGUCUUUCGUUUAUUCAAUUUUUUAUGUGUCUCUUUCUCUAAAGGAAGUGGGCUGUGGGGUAGAUAACCAUCAAAAAACACAGAGUGUCCUCUCUGUCAGCUACCAAGUGUGAACACACGUCUGCUCUGGGAAAAGAGAAAGAGAGCAGGAAAAAAAUUAUACAGGAAUAAACACUACAAAAAUAUACGCACCAGCGGCAUCAAACGGAAUUGUCACAUGUUCGAAAACGUCACUUAAAACGGCUGGACACAUCUGCCUGAUCCAGUGAAGACAAAUGGGUCUCAAGCUUCUCACAAGAGACCACAAGCUCAGUCAUGUCAGCUGCCUCCUUUCCACUCUCUCAGGAUGACAGAUACAUCAGGUUUGGGUUCAGCUUCAGGGCCUCAGGAGAGAGAGGGAGCUGCUCUCUGCCCGGUCCAGUUUUGAGAGCCUGCCGUUCCGCUGGGAGCUCCGGCUGGUGGCUGUGCCCUGCGCUCUUGCCAUGCGAGAAGCAGUCAACAUAGACCUCUUUGAACCUCUCAAACUGAAGCAUCAUCUAAACGUUUCCAUGAGGCCCCUGCGGUCCGUCCAACGCUUCCAAUGGCCGCGGCCCUACCGCUUCCAGCACUGGGGGAUUCGUGCGGUGAAGGGCCGAUGGCCGAGGGGGGCUCACCAGUCGCCGAUAAAGCGUAAUGCAGCGCAUAUGGAGCUUUGUUGAGCGGAGCCGGCGACAGAGAAUGAGCAGAAGUCCCAGCGGUGUUGAUUUGUACUGUGGCAGGGACCCUCGUGCCUAAUAAGACCUCCAUCUCUACAUAGUGUCUGACACCACCCUAAUACAGCAUAUGGAAAUGAGGCGUGCAUAUGGCUGCAGCUAGAGGACCGAGCAUUAUAAAAGCGGCGUUAUUGACCUCGCUUCCUUUGAGAGCAGCGCGGCACAGCGCAGACUCCAUUCAGAGCAGGGACACUCGCAGAGCAUCGACGGCAAAAGGACGGGAUUGGGAGAUAAUGCACAUCAGCAAAUAGAACAUGACCGCUGUGUCCAGCGUCAACGCCGCCCAUUGUCUGCACUGAGAACGGAUGAUAGUGACUGGCGAGGAUAACAAAGCCGGGCCACAAUGGACCAGGCAUAUUAAGACGGAUCCCAGACCACUGGCUAGCAGUAUGGAAGAAGAAAAGACAGACAGAUAUAGUAAAGAAUAUAUACUGUACAAAAUAAAAUUUGAUUAUGUCCUCCUCCGUGUCAAACUUCCAUCAUUACAACCUUA